UAUUGGGCCUAAAGCGUCCGUAGCUGGCCGCGCAAGUCCAUCGGGAAAUCCACCCGCCCAACGGGUGGCCGUCCGGUGGAAACUGCACGGCUUGGGACCGGAAGGCGCGACGGGUACGUCCGGGGUAGGAGUGAAAUCCCGUAAUCCUGGACGGACCGCCGAUGGCGAAAGCACGUCGCGAGAACGGAUCCGACAGUGAGGGACGAAAGCCAGGGUCUCGAACC
rnacentral:rRNA from 1 species